GCCGCCGGCCGGACCGCCGUGCGCCCGGCGUGCGCGUGGGAGAGAGCACGGCUGCCGGUGCCGGCGCCGCCCCGCUGCCUUCUAUCUGCCUCAGCCUCGCGCGCCCAGUGGUGGCCGGUCUCUGGGCUACAAUGUAAAGAGGAAACAGAUACUAGGAAUAUUUUUUAGAACAGCUAUUUGAUUUCUUCUCAAAGUCACUGCUGCCUUCUGAGUUGUGAGUAUAUUUCUCUUGUUUAUGCCUUGGUGUUGCCUUUUGUUUUUUCUUUCCCUUGUCCACAGCCUCUGAUAUAUAGUAGCAACAGCAGAACAUAAAUGAUUGGUAGGGUCAGAGAAGACUUGUAAGUUGUAUGUUGAUUCUUUAUAUAUUUUAAUAUUAGCAUUAUGAUAUUGGUUGUUCAAAGAGUAGUGCUUGGAAAACACUGGACAUGGUAAACACUCUGAACUAUAGUUACUUAUUAACUAAUUACAGCCACUUUAGGAACAAGAUCUGCUGUUCUCUGUGUCACAUUUAUAUAAACUCAAACAGAAGUUAAUGGUUUCUAAGUUAUAAGUGUUGGUAUUAGGUUCAUAUUUUUUAUAGCUUUAGAAGCAUGUUCCUUACUGGUAUUUUAUUCUCAUGAAUACUGACUUCAGAUUUUGGUCUCAUGUUUUAUUUAUUUAUUUGUUUGUUUGUUUGUUUUUUUGGAGACAGGGUUUCUCUCUGUAGCCCUAGCUGUCCUGGAACUAACUAUAGAUCAGGCUGGCCUCGAACUCAAAGAUCCCAAGUGCUGGGAUUAAAGGCGUGCGCUACCACUGCCCAGCUCAUGGAUUAUUUAUAAUAGUUCUAUUUACCUUGGGGAAUAUAUCCUGUACCCCCAAGUGGCUGCCUGAAACUACAGAUAGGAUCAGACUACAUAUAUGUUAUAUAUGCUUUUUCCUAUGCACUCAAGCAAACAUGUGUGGUCAUGCCCAUCUUUUUAACAUGGGUGCUGGAAUCCAAACUCAGGUUCUUAGCAAUUGAUCUUUACCUGCUAAGUACCAGCCCUACUUUAAGUUAUUUUCUUCUACCUAAACCUAGUUUCUCAUCUGACCUAGAGGUUUAUUUAAGAUUUUCUCCUAGGAGAUUGUUAGGAAGAAACUUUAAGGUACAUCUAAUAUGUAGUCAACACUCAGUGUCAUUAGUAGUUGUAUUAGUUAGGCUCAUUAUUCCUGUGUAGAAACAUCAUGACCAAAAGCAGCUCUAGGAGGAAAGGGUUUAUUUUACUUUUUCUUACUGCAGUUCAUCAUUGGAUACCAAGGCAGGAACUCACAUGAGACAGGAACUUGGAGCUGAUCCACAGACCAUGGAGGGAUGUUGCUUACUGGCUUGCUCUCAUGGCUUGUUCAGCCUGCUUUAUGGUAGAACCUAGGAUCACCAGCCCAGGGAUGACACUAUCUGCAAUGGGCUGGGCCUUCCUCCAUCAAUCACUUAUGAAGAAAAUGCCCUUUAAGUUGGGCAUAGUGAGACAAACCUAUAAGCCCAACACUAGGGAACCAGAGGCAGGCAUAUCUCUGUGAGUUUGAGAGCAGUUUGGUCUACAUAGUUGAGACCCUGUCUCAAUUUUAAAAAAGAAAGAUAGAAAAUAACCCAUCCGGCUUGCCUGCUUGCAACCCGAUCUUGUGGAGGCAGUUUCUCAACUGAGGUUCCUUCCUCUCAGAUGACUUUAGUUUGUGACAUAAAAUUAGCCACAAAGGCAGUUAUUCAAGGUGGUAUUUUCUACAGUGCAAACAGUGGGAUUAAUCUUGAAAGAGAUUACUUGACUUGCAAAUUGUUAAAAUUGUUUGGCUUCUUCACAUUGGGGAGAUUAUAGACUUUUGAAAGUUCCUAAGUUUGUCUUAUUCUUAGAGCCUACUUUCUGGUAGAUCUGGUAAUAAUCCAAGGACAAAGAUGGUGAUAAGAGAUCCAAACUCUUCUCGGGUUGGCAUCAGUGAAUAUUUGUUUUUAUUUUUUAAUAGAAAAUUUACAUUUAUCUCUUUUGUGUGUAUAUGUGUAUGGGGGUACAUGUGGAGAUCAGAGGACAACUUGUUGAAGUUGGUUCUCUCCUUUUCAUGUAGGUCUUAAGGAAUGAACUCAGGUUAUCAGACUUGGUAACAAGUGCCUUUACCCAGUGAGCCAUCUUGCCUCUGAAAACAUUUGUUUUAGCAAACUUAAACUUCAUGGAGUUCAAAUGAUUGACAGUUUAUUAAGUGUGAUACUGGCAAGGGUUUCUAGAGUAGAGGUUCUUCCUCUGUCUCUUCCAUUUCCAUAUGAGGGUUAGUUCACUUUACUCCUCAGUUAUUUCUUGUCUCCUGAAAUCAGUUUUCUUUCUUUGUAUUAAAGAAAAUUUCCCAUGCAUGCAGUUUCAGCUUUCUAGUCUAGGUGUAGAGGUCUCUAAUCUCAAUUCUGUUUUUUCCAGUUCCUCUUGCUCCUGUGAGUAAGGGGAGGAAUCUGUUCUAUGUCUGCCUGUGCCAGAUGUGAGAGCUCUGUGUCAUCUGUGGUAUCAUGCCUGUUUGACCCAAGGUUAGUUUUCAUUCCUGCUGAAUGAAGAGUUCUUUGUUUAUUAUGGUGUGUGUGUGUGAGUGUGGACUCAAGAGCAGGCGCGCAUGCAUACAUGUGUGCACAUGUCCACUCAUUCGGUGUAGGUCAGGACAACAUUGGUAGCCAGUUCUUUCCUUAUACAUGUGGUUUCUGGGGAUCAGACUUAGGUCAUGAGCUUUAAUGACAAGUACUCUUAUAUGCUGAGCCAUCUCAUUGGCUCCAGGCAUAUUGGUGGGGUUUUUUCCUCUUUUAUUUUAAGAUUUAUUUAUUUUAUGUAUGUAUGCGGUCUUCAGACACACCAGAAGAGGGCUUUGGAUCCCAUUACAGAUGGUUGUGAGCCACAAUGUGGUUGCUGGAAAUUGAACUCAGGACCUCUGGAAGAGGAGCAGUCUUACUUGCUGAGCCAUCUCUCCAGCCCCUGUUUUUUGUUUUUUGUUUUUUUCAGACAAGGUCUCACUAUGAAGCACUGACUGACCUGGAACUUGUUAUGUAGACUAGGCUGGUUUAUAACCCAAGAGAUCUUCCUGACCACGCCUAGGAAUGAAGUUUUUAAAUUCUUGUCAUAAAGUAAGUUUUGUUUUGUUAGAUGAUGAUGAUGAUGAUUUGUGCAUGUGUGUGAGAGAGACUAUGAAUAUGAAUAUGAAUAUGAAUGAAUGAGAAUAUGCAAAUGAAACUUUGUAGCAGAAUCGGCUCCAAAACAGGAGCAGAGCUGUUCAUAAAUUGAGCUGUAAGAGUCAUUCAUUAUUUAUUAUGUUUAUUUAUUUGUGUGUAUGUGUGUAUGUAUAUACGUAUGUAUGUGUGUAUAUAUGAGUUGUUUCUCUCCUUUCAUUAUGUGUUCCAGAGAUUGCACUUGGGUCGUCAAAUGUGUGCAGUAAGCACUUUUAUCUAUUGAGCCAUCUUACCAGUCUAAUCCAGAUCUUUGUCUUUUGGUGACUCUUCCUUAUUAUUACAGAUGUACUUACUUGUUUUUCUGUUAGAAGUCUUUAGAGGAGUAGAACUCAUUAGUCUACAUUUUGAUCAUGAAGCCACUGAGGGCUUUGGAGAUUGUGUUGAUAUUAUGUAAGGAUUUAAAAGUAACCUUUUUUUAAAAAAAAGAUUUAUUUAUUUUAUUUAUGAGUACAUUAUAGCUGACUUCAGACACACCAGAAGAGGGUAUCAGAUCCUAUUACAGAUGGUUGUGAGCCACCAUGUGGUUGCUGGGAAUUGAACUCAGGAACUUUGGAAGAACCGCUGAGCCAUCUCUCUAGCCCCAAAAGUAACUUUUAUUAGCUAGAUGUAAUUGUUGUCUUGGAGGCUUAGGUUUAACUCAGCUGCUCUGGUCCAAACUCUUCUCUAAGAUGACUGAUUCAAACUGGCUUCUCUUGGCUUCUGACUGAAUUGCUCUGUUUGGUCUCAAACUAACUGGCAAUCUGUUCUAAUCUGGUUCCUUUUCAUUUUCUGGCUUGUUCUGUCUUCACCUGCAACCUGUCUCUGUAAAACUGUCCUUUCCCCCACUCCCUAUUGCCUUUCUUUCUGGUCUGUUCUCUUUAAGUUGCCUCUCUUUUCUUGUGCUGUUCUUUUGAGUGUUGGGAUUAUCCUAUCUCUGACUCAUUCUAUCAGAUCUUUCUCUGAUUAAGCACUUUGUCUGCCCUUCAAUUCAAUGUCACUUGUUGAAGUUAGUUCUCUCCUUUUCAUGUAGGUCUUGAAGAUUGAAUUUAGGUUAUCAGACUUGGGACAAGUGCCAUUACCCAGUGAGCUUUAUCUUAAGACACCCCAAACAUUUGUUUUAUCAAACAUGGCUACUUCCUUUUACAAACUAACCUUGCUUACAUUGUUUGGGAUUAGAGGUGUGUACUAAGGACGCAUCUGUAUUCCAACCAGAGGUAUUAAAGGUGUGUGGACUGUCUAUAUUCCAACUGGAUUACACAGACCUAAGUCUUUGGAUGUAAUCCCUUGCCAGAGCAGCCAUGUUGCUGGAUUAAAAUUCUUCUGCAGGUCUAAGUUCAGGAUGCCAAGUUCAUAUUAAGUGCCAGCCAUGGUUCUAAUUGCUUUAAGUAGAGACAUC
rnacentral:lncRNA from 1 species